rnacentral:lncRNA from 1 species
GGAGGAGAAAGACACUAAAAGAGAACUGUGAGGCUUUGAGAUCUAUUAAAGUGGAAAAGGAAGCUGAAUUAAAAAUGUUGAAGAUGAACAUAGGCGUGACUGAUGAACUCUUUGGACAAAGCAAGAUGGUCAUAGACAAGAAGCUGAGAAUGAAAGAACGUGAGAGGGUGGAAAAGGAGAAGCAGCUCUCUCAUCAGCAGAAAAGAAGGUGAAAUUGGCUGCAGAAGAAAUGCAGCGCUGCAAAUCAAGGCUCGGAUUUUGGAGAGGGAGAUAGUGGAGCAGAGCAGGGAAGCCGCUCACUUGAAACACAGAUUGGAGAUAAUGUCCCAAAAGAGGCUUCCUGAGGGAUACAGGCCGUACGAACCAAUGUUGCAAAGACCUGGGAUGCAGAACCCUGCACAGAGAGGACGAUGAUUUUGAAAGAGGAGCCUGAGCCGUGAUAAAAGGCUAUGGCAAUUGAUUAUGGUUUUCCCUGCCCAAUCCUGCCUCCUCCACUUUUAUCUUUCCUAUUGUCUCCCCUAAUACACCCUUUAUGGUUCUAACUCAGUGUCAGCGUCUGCUUUUUGGAGGACCAACCGACUCACUCCAGGGAGUGUACACAGUGUGAGUCUUGUACGCGCAGUUCAAAAACAGGCAGAAACCAUGGGAAUGAGGCAGAAGCAAGGUUAUUUUGGGAGGGGUACUGUUGACUGCGAGGGGCCUGAGAAGUCC